rnacentral:rRNA from 1 species
UAACCUACGGGAGGCAGCAGUGGGGAAUAUUGGGCAAUGGGCGCAAGCCUUACCCAGCAAUACCGCGUGAGUGAAGAAGGUCUUCGGAUUGUAAAGCUCUUUGAUCAGGGACGAACAGAUGACGGUACCUGAAGAACAAGCCCCGGCUAACUACGUGCCAGCAGCCGCGGUAAAACGUAGGGGGCGAGCGUUGUCCGGAAUGACUGGGCGUAAAGGGUGCGUAGGCGGACUUUUAAGUGAGAUGUGA